rnacentral:rRNA from 1 species
CCUACGGUGGGCAGCAGUGGGGAAUAUUGCACAAUGGGCGCAAGCCUGAUGCAGCCAUGCCGCGUGUGUGAAGAAGGCCUUCGGGUUGUAAAGCACUUUCAGCGGGGAGGAAGGCGGUGAGGUUAAUAACCUCAUCGAUUGACGUUACCCGCCGAAGAAGCACCGGCUAACUCCGUGCCAGCAGCCGCGGUAAUACGGAGGGUGCAAGCGUUAAUCGGAAUUACUGGGCGUAAAGCGCACGCAGGCGGUCUGUCAAGUCGGAUGUGAAAUCCCCGGGCUCAACCUGGGAACUGCAUUCGAAACUGGCAGGCUAGAGUCUUGUAGAGGGGGGUAGAAUUCCAGGUGUAGCGGUGAAAUGCGUAGAGAUCUGGAGGAAUACCGGUGGCGAAGGCGGCCCCCUGGACAAAGACUGACGCUCAGGUGCGAAAGCGUGGGGAGCAAACAGGAUUAGAUACCCCUGUAGUC